UAGGGAAUCUUCCGCAAUGGGCGAAAGCCUGACGGAGCAACGCCGCGUGAGUGAUGAAGGUCUUCGGAUCGUAAAACUCUGUUAUUAGGGAAGAACAAAUGUGUAAGUAACUAUGCACGUCUUGACGGUACCUAAUCAGAAAGCCACGGCUAACUACGUGCCAGCAGCCGCGGUAAUACGUAGGUGGCAAGCGUUAUCCGGAAUUAUUGGGCGUAAAGCGCGCGUAGGCGGUUUUUUAAGUCUGAUGUGAAAGCCCACGGCUCAACCGUGGAGGGUCAUUGGAAGCUGGAAAACUUGAGUGCGGAAGAGGAAAGUAGAAUUCCAUGUGUAGCAGUGAAAUGCGCAGAGAUAUGGCGGAACACCAGUGGCGAAGGCGACUGUCUGUUCUGUAACUGACGCUGAUGUGCGAAAGCGUGGGGAUCAAACAGG
rnacentral:rRNA from 1 species